rnacentral:rRNA from 1 species
GUGGGGAAUUUUGCGCAAUGGGCGAAAGCCUGACGCAGCAACGCCGCGUGGAGGAUGAAGGCCUUCGGGUCGUAAACUCCUGUCAGUGGGGACGAAAGCCUCGCAAGAGGUCUGACUGUACCCGCUGAGGAAGCCACGGCUAACUCCGUGCCAGCAGCCGCGGUAAUACGGAGGUGGCAAGCGUUGUUCGGAAUUACUGGGCGUAAAGGGCGCGUAGGCGGCUUGGCAAGUCAGAUGUGAAAGCCCCGGGCUCAACUCGGGAAUUGCAUCUGAAACUGCUUUGCUUGAGUCCUGGAGGGGAUAGUGGAAUUCCCAGUGUAGCGGUGAAAUGCGUAGAUAUUGGGAGGAACACCUGCGGCGAAGGCGGCUAUCUGGACAGUGACUGACGCUGAGGCGCGAAAGCUAGGGGAGCGAACGGGAUUAGAUACCCGAGUAGUCC